AUGGAUAUUAGGGUGAGCAAAAACGCUCAUAAGCUGUUUAGUGUCCAGCAAAAUUCUUUUAUUAAGGGGAGACAUAUUGUUGAUGGUAUUCUCUCCCUGCAAGAAGUGUUGCAUUAUACACAUGUCAAAAAACAAGUGGGGGUGAUCCUUAAACUCGAUUUUGAAAAAGCCUAUGACAAAGUUAAUUGGGAGUUUUUGCUUGAUUGUCAUGAGAAGCGUGGCUUUAACUCUAAGUGGUGUGGGUGGGUAUCUCAAAUCCUGAAAAAUGGCACGAUACGUGUCGAGAUUAACGAUGAGGUCGGCCCCUAUAUACAAAGUGCUAAGGGGGUACGGCAGGGGGACCCUCAUUCCCCCUUCCUGUUUAACAUUGCGGCUGAAUGCCUGACUAAAAUGGUGCUUUCAACACAAAAAACGAACUCAUUAAAGGUUUAG
rnacentral:rRNA from 1 species